rnacentral:misc_RNA from 1 species
AAAACUUCAACAUUUCUCUUUUUCCAAAUCAUCCAUUUUCUUCCUCAAUCCUCUCCAGUUUCCUCUCCGGCCGACGCCGUUCCGAUCUCUCCUUCCGGUUUUGGGAGAGAAGAGAGAAGAGAUCAAAGUGAUCAUGGCAAAUAAAAUGGAUCACGAGUACGAUUAUUUGUUUAAGAUCGUCGUGAUUGGGGAUUCUGGAGUGGGGAAAUCAAACAUUUUAUCCAGGUUCACGAGAAAUGAGUUUUGUUUGGAGUCCAAAUCCACUAUUGGCGUUGAGUUUGCCACCAGAACUCUUCAGGUGGAGGGGAAGACAGUGAAGGCCCAGA